AGCUGCGGGGUCCUGCACAGGGAUAUCAAACCAGAGAACAUCCUGGUUGACCUGGCCACCGGGCAGGCCAAAUUGAUUGACUUUGGCUGUGGCACCUACCUGCAAGAGACAGCCUACACUCACUUUGCAGGAACACCAUCAUACAGCCCCCCGGAAUGGACCCGCUUUGGCUGGUACCAUGGCGAGCCAGCUACCAUCUGGUCCCUGGGCAUCCUGCUGCACCAGAUGGUCUGUGGGAAGAUGCCUUUCAGGAGGGGCUGGAACUUCAGCUGGGGCCAGCUCUCGCUGCCACAACGGCUCUCUCCAGAGUGCCAAAAUCUGAUCGGGUGGUGUUUAUCUAUGCACUCCUUGGACAGACCCUCAUUAGAAGAGGUGUUCUGUCAUCCUUGGAUGCAGGAUAUUCAUCUGCCCUAGAAGAAGAGAGAGAGCCAGAGGCACACUUUGAUCCAGGGCCCUGGGAAGGAGAAGGAGCUCCCAGAGAAGCUGUACCAGGUGGGGCUGCUGCUGCUGGAGACAGCGAGGAUGACAUCAAGGAUGACAACCUCUUCCUCAACCUGGCGACCAGCAGUUGAAGAGGAAGCAUUCUGGUUAGUCCAGUCUGGAUUGGGAAGUGCUUGGAGCAGCUGUGGCAUGGAUGGGCCGUGCCCUUAGAGCAGGCUGAGGACAUCGUUUGGGACCAGCUUUUCUUCCA